rnacentral:rRNA from 1 species
AUUGAACGCUGGCGGCAUGCCUUACACAUGCAAGUCGAACGGCAGCACGGGAGCAAUCCUGGUGGCGAGUGGCGAACGGGUGAGUAAUAUAUCGGAACGUGCCCAGUCGUGGGGAUAACGUAGAGAAAUUUACGCUAAUACCGCAUACGAUCUAAGGAUGAGAGCGGGGGGAUUCGCAAGAACCUCGCGCGAUUGGAGCGGCUGAUAUCAGAUUAGGUUGUUGGUGAGGUAAAAGCUCACCAAGCCGACGAUCUGUAGCUGGUUUGAGAGAACGACCAGCCACACUGGGACUGAGACACGGCCCAGACUCCUACGGGAGGCAGCAGUGGGGAAUUUUGGACAAUGGGCGCAAGCCUGAUCCAGCAAUGCCGCGUGCAGGAUGAAGGCCUCGGUUGUAAC